GACGUAGGGCGCGAGCGUUGUCCGGAUUUAUUGGGCGUAAAGAGCUCGUAGGCGGCUUGUCGCGUCGACUGUGAAAUCCCGAGGCUCAACCUCGGGUCUGCAGUCGAUACGAGCAAACUAGAGUGUUGCAGGGGAGACUGGAAUUCCUGGUGUAGCGGUGAAAUGCGCAGAUAUCAGGAGGAACACCGGUGGCGAAGGCGGGUCUCUGGGCAACAACUGACGCUGAGGAGCGAAAGCGUGGGGAGCGAGCAGG
rnacentral:rRNA from 1 species